GACGAACGCUGGCGGCGUGCCUAAUACAUGCAAGUUGAGCGAUGAAGAUUGGUGCUUGCACCAAUUUGAAGAGCAGCGAACGGGUGAGUAACGCGUGGGGAAUCUGCCUUUCAGCGGGGGACAACCUUUGGAAACGAAUGCUAAUACCACAUAACAACUUUAAACAUAAGUUUUAAGUUUGAAAGAUGCAAUUGCAUCACUCAAAGAUGAUCCCGCGUUGUAUUAGCUAGUUGGUGAGGUAAAGGCUCACCAAGGCGAUGAUACAUAGCCGACCUGAGAGGGUGAUGGGCCAUAUUGGGACUGAGACACGGCCCAAACUCCUACGGGAGGCAGCAGUAGGGAAACUUCGGCAAUGGACGAAAGUCUGACCGAGCAACGCCGCGUGAGUGAAGAAGGUUUUCGGAUCGUAAAACUCUGUUGGUAGAGUAGAACACUGGUGAGACUGGAAAGCUCAUCAAGUGACGGUAACUUCCCAGAAAGGGACGGCUAACUACGUG
rnacentral:rRNA from 1 species